CCUACGGGCGGCAGCAGUGGGGAAUAUUGCACAAUGGGGGAAACCCUGAUGCAGCGACGCCGCGUGAGUGAGGAAGUAUUUCGGUAUGUAAAGCUCUAUCAGCAGGGAAGAAAAUGACGGUACCUGACUAAGAAGCCUCGGCUAACUACGUGCCAGCAGCCGCGGUAAUACGUAGGAGGCGAGCGUUAUCCGGAAUGACUGGGCGUAAAGGGGGCGUAGGUGGGUUGGCAAGUUAGUAGCGAAAGUCCAAGGCUCAACCUUGGAACUGCUACUUAAACUGUUGGACUUGAGUGCAGGAGGGGCAAGCGGAAUUCCUAGUGUAGCGGUGGAAUGCGUAGAUAUUAGGAGGAACACCAGUGGCGAAGGCGGGUUGCUAGACUGUAACUGACGCUGAGGCACGAAAGCGUGGGGAGCAAACAGGAUUAGAUACCCGUGUAGUC
rnacentral:rRNA from 1 species